AUCAGAGUAACAUGCAGCAGUAGAAUCAUAGUCAUAGGCACAGGCAGAAUAAGCAGUAUCCACAAAAUCAAAAUAGGCAGACAUGUAGAAAGAAGGGGGAAAAGAAGAAUGCAAUGAAAAUACGAAACUAAAGCUAUCUAAAUGCAACAGACAUGACACCACACACAAAACGGAACAACACACUCACAACACGAGACAAAACACAACACACACAAACACAACAAAAGACCUAAAACCGAACCCGUUGGUCCCCGGCAACAGCGCCAAAAUUUGAUGGGUGUCGCACCCCAUGCAAAUUUAAUAUGCAUAAAGAAUGCAGUAUAGACUAGGAAGUGACUCCUAGGUCGUCUCUCAAGGACCAACUACGGUUCAGAAAUUAGGUCUAACACGAAGUGGGGGGUUUUGUGAAAAUGUUUGUGACUGCCGAUGAAGUAAAUUAAGACACGAAUGCAAACAGAGAUGCAAACACAGAUGUAAAAACUAGUUCAAAGACAGAAUGAAAAUGGUCGGUCAUUAACUCAAUUACUAUGCUUCCAAUCCCAGAUUAAAGACAAGUACACACUACUCUAGUCUAAAUCCAACACAAAUCACCCAACUAAGCGAAGGGUAAUUCGGUCUUCAAAAUUGCAGACUAAGUGAAUGCAAUGCACAAAUCUCAUAAGUCAUGCACCAUACAGUCUAAUCAACUAAGC
rnacentral:lncRNA from 1 species